CCUACGGGGAGCUGCAGUGGGGAAUAUUGGACAAUGGGGGCAACCCUGAUCCAGCCAUGCCGCGUGUGUGAAGAAGGCCCUCGGGUUGUAAAGCACUUUCAGUGAGGAAGAACGCCUGGUGGUUAAUACCCAUCAGGAAAGACAUCACUCACAGAAGAAGCACCGGCUAACUCCGUGCCAGCAGCCGCGGUAAUACGGAGGGUGCGAGCGUUAAUCGGAAUUACUGGGCGUAAAGCGCGCGUAGGUGGCUUGAUAAGCCGGUUGUGAAAGCCCCGGGCUCAACCUGGGAACGGCAUCCGGAACUGUCAAGCUAGAGUGCAGGAGAGGAAGGUAGAAUUCCCGGUGUAGCGGUGAAAUGCGUAGAGAUCGGGAGGAAUACCAGUGGCGAAGGCGGCCUUCUGGACUGACACUGACACUGAGGUGCGAAAGCGUGGGUAGCAAACAGGAUUAGAUACCCUAGUAGUC
rnacentral:rRNA from 1 species